AGGGUUUGAUUCUGGCUCAGGAUUAACGCUGGCGGCAUGCCUAAUACAUGCAAGUCGAACGAGACAAUUUAUUGUCUAGUGGCGAACGGGUGAGUAAAGUAUUUCUAAUCUGCCCUAAAGUGUGGGAUAACUAUUGGAAACGAUAGCUAAUACCGCAUAGGAUACAAGGAGGCAUCUCUUUGUGUUUAAAGGUGCGUUUGCACCGCUAUAGGAUGAGGAAAUAUCACAUUAGCUUGUUGGUAGGGUAACGGCCUACCAAGGCGAUGAUGUGUAGCCGAGCUGAGAGGUUGAUCGGCCACAAUGGGACUGAGACACGGCCCAUACUCCUACGGAAGGCAGCAGUAGGGAAUUUUCCGCAAUGGACGAAAGUCUGACGGAGCAAUGCCGCGUGAGUGAUGAAGGUUUUCGAAUCGUAAAGCUCUGUUGUAAGGGAAGAAUAGCAAGUGUAGGAAAUGACAUUUGUCUGACGGUACCUUACCAGAAAGCCACGGCUAACUACGUGCCAGCAGCCGCGGUAAU
rnacentral:rRNA from 1 species